CGACAGCGAUCAAGUGUCAUUUAAAUUCUGAAGAUGUAGCCCGUGAUUAGUUGUACGACGACGAUAGUUAGUUUACUUGAUCUCCUAUUGAGAUAUCUCUACCAACAUCGGAACACAUGUUUGAUAUGUAUGUGUCGUUACUGUGUGAUCGUGGGCAAUUGUCGUGUCAAAAGAUGUACCAUGCUUUUGCACUUAUGUACGUUGUAAGCUAUUCAUUGCAAAUUUAAGAGUUCGAAUACGCCACACCUCAUACCAGACGACAAUGCAGCACGUGAAUACAUCACCAAUCUACAGUAGCGGCUUGCAGCACCUGGAGCACCAGGAUUCUUACAGUUUCGAACAAAACAAUUUCAUUGGUUCAUCGAAUAACAUGAAAAAGGUUACAAAUCACCAGGAUGAACCACAGCUCCCAUCGUUAUCGACAGUUGAGCCAUGUAACAUGUUUUUCACGGGUUAUUUAGACUGUGCACAUGAGGCUUUACGAUACCUUAUCGAGAUAGAAAAGUUGCCGACUAGUCAUCCAUUAGUACUGGGAAUCCAGUGCCAACUUUACGAGCACUAUAGAUUGCUACAGUUGCAAUACAUGUUUGAGAAUUUGUAUCCAGCUGGGCAAAUGGUACACAUCCCAAACGCGUUUCCAAACGAUGUUGCUAGUGGUAGUUUGUGCGAACAAUGCGACACAAUCGCUGAAGACGAAACUAUAGGUCUUUCAACUAUUGGUACACACAGUAUAAACAAUGGUUGUUUAAAUUCGGUUGAUUGCGCUUUGGCCCCGGAGCAUAGUUUUACCCAGAACUCGACAGGCGAUAUUUUGAAAAAUUCGGGAUUGCCGAUUGAAUCGCAAAAAUUGGCGGAAUCGCUCGCAGACGAAAUUUACUCGCUUCUUCAUUCAACAGACGACAGUGAUGACGACGAAUUCACAGACGAAGAGAGUAUAGAUGAAGGCUUUGAAGAAAUGACAGAAUUGACGAGCAACUGAAGAAACCUUUAUUAAUCGAUCUCAAAAUUUGUGAAAAAUAAAAUUGCAUAUUACUUAUGUUCAAACCACUUUGAAUUUGUAAUGGCAUUAUUAAGUAUAGACGUCGUAAGUAUUAUUCCAUUAUUGUUAAACGAUGCAAUAACAUCUAGAAAUAUGUAUUAGCAAAUCCGCAACGUUACGUGCUCGCCUAUUGUUGUCACGGAAAUGCACUCGUCUAUGUAAUAUUGAGUUCAGAAAUAAUAUAUUAUCAUAUAAAUCGGAAAUAUUAUAAUAUUAUGUCGGUCAAACAUACCGAUUGCAUCGUAGAGUGGUUCAGAUAGAUUUUUUAUAAACACGUAAUAAAUACGUGUACAUCAAAUGAAAACCAACUCAUCACACUGUAAACAUUUAAGUCGUUUAACACAAAUUUAUGUCGACAUGGUUGUAUUCAUAUUUGUUGUUUACUGUGUUCGUUUGUUUGUCUUUAUUUAUUUAUUUCGUAUUUAUACCUUUUAAUCGCUUGGAUCUCAUACCUUCUGUCUUCUGUCGUCUGCCUAAGGCGCAUUUCUUACAAUUGCGUGCUUAGUUGGUGUCGAAGAAACCGAGUUGCGUAUAAUACUAAUGGGCAAUGACUAUUUAUUGAUUUGGUUGUAUAUUUAUAUGAAAAAAAUGGAUAUAAACUGUC